AUUCUAGAGUUUGAUCAUGGCUCAGAUUGAACGCUGGCGGCAGGCCUAACACAUGCAAGUCGAACGGUAGCACAGAGAGCUUGCUCUCGGGUGACGAGUGGCGGACGGGUGAGUAAUGUCUGGGAAACUGCCUGAUGGAGGGGGAUAACUACUGGAAACGGUAGCUAAUACCGCAUAACGUCGCAAGACCAAAGAGGGGGACCUUCGGGCCUCUUGCCAUCAGAUGUGCCCAGAUGGGAUUAGCUAGUAGGUGGGGUAACGGCUCACCUAGGCGACGAUCCCUAGCUGGUCUGAGAGGAUGACCAGCCACACUGGAACUGAGACACGGUCCAGACUCCUACGGGAGGCAGCAGUGGGGAAUAUUGCACAAUGGGCGCAAGCCUGAUGCAGCCAUGCCGCGUGUAUGAAGAAGGCCUUCGGGUUGUAAAGUACUUUCAGCGGGGAGGAAGGCGAUAAGGUUAAUAACCUUGUCGAUUGACGUUACCCGCAGAAGAAGCACCGGCUAACUCCGUGCCAGCAG
rnacentral:rRNA from 1 species